rnacentral:rRNA from 1 species
CCCUUAGAUGUUCUGGGCUGCACGCGCGCUACACUGAAGCUAUCAACACGUUUUCCCUCCCUGAGAAGGGCGGGUAACCUUUUGAAUCAGCUUCGUGGUAGGGAACGGGGCUUGCAAUUGUUCCCCGUGAACCAGGAAUUCCUAGUAGACGCGAGUCAUAAGCUCGCAUCGAUUAAGUCCCUGCCCUUUGUACACACCGCCCGUCGCUACUACCGAUUGAACGUUUUAGUGAGGCAUUUGGACCGACGCAUCUCAGUUUAACCGCUGGUUUGUGUUGGAAAGACUUCCAAACUUGAGCGUUUAGAGGAAGUAAAAGUCGUAACA